CGGCCCCUUUUAAAUUGUUCUCAACAGUCAGACAAAUAAUUUAAUUGAUACUUUUUAUUAUUUAGACACUUCAAGAGGCUACUAAAUAUGUCAAGUAAAUAUAAAUUGCUUAUUUGGCAUAUGCAUCUUUGUUAACAAUAUUAUGGGCGUGUGAAGUCAUUUUACAUGCUCAAAUAGCAGCUUCCAUGGGACGGAUCUGUAACAAACCCUCUUGGCUGAUCGAACAAUGUCUUCAAUCAGCAUAAUUUCCAUAUUUACACAAAAAGUAAGUCAAUCCGAACUAACACCUGAUUAGUGUAUAUUAAUGCCUUCUGGUUAACAGAUUGAAUCUGGAACGAAGUCUUCAAAUAUGAGUUCGUGUUCCAUCGUUCUUCACCGCCCAACAUUGUGGAAGAAGAUGGGUUGUUUUUAUUUGAAAAUUGGAGGUCGAAUCGAUUUAAUGUUCGAAAUCUUAAAGCUUCUUUAUGAAGCAGAAUCUACAAAUUAAGGUAGAUUGCAGCUGAUUCGAUAGGCUUUGCUUCGAAAUUUUUGAAGUAUAUUCGAAGAAGAUGAAGAUUGGGUCUGUUCGAAGAACACGAAAUUUCUAGAUUUGUUCAAAGUUUAGUAAAAAAAGAUGGGUAUGUUUGAAACUUUUUGUUCUAUUCGAACGUUCGAAGAAGUCUACUCAACGACUGAUGUUGGGUUUGUCCGUAGUCUGAUAAAGACGAAAUUUCUGAAAUUAAGUUUGAAGAAUCAUAUAUUACACAUCAUCCCUCUUCGCACAGUGUAGCCAAUUGUAGUUGAUUUAAAUAUUUUGGGAUUGAUCAUAAAAGAUGUCACGGGGAAAGCAAGAAGAUGGUUGGGGGGGUUGGCGCUUGUUUGCAAAAGUUUUCUUUUUUUCUUUAAAUAUGUUUUUGUUUUUUACAUGUGUCAAAAUAUUUAUAAUAAAUUAUAUGUGUCAUUCUUUAAUUGGUUCAUUUAAUAUAUCACUAGUAAGUGUAACCCACACAUAUGUUUUGCUGGG
rnacentral:lncRNA from 1 species